rnacentral:rRNA from 1 species
AACGAACGCUGGCGGCAGGCCUAACACAUGCAAGUCGAACGCCCUGGCAACAGGGAGUGGCAGACGGGUGAGUAACGCGUGGGAACGUGCCCUUCGGUUCGGAAUAACUCAGGGAAACUUGAGCUAAUACCGGAUACGUGCGAGAGCAGAAAGAUUUAUCGCCGAAGGAUCGGCCCGCGUCCGAUUAGCUAGUUGGUGAGGUAAUGGCCCACCAAGGCGACGAUCGGUAGCUGGGCUGAGAGGAUGAUCAGCCACACUGGGACUGAGACACGGCCCAGACUCCUACGGGAGGCAGCAGUGGGGAAUAUUGGACAAUGGGCGCAAGCCUGAUCCAGCCAUGCCGCGUGAGUGAUGAAGGCCCUAGGGUUGUAAAGCUCUUUCGCCAGGGACGAUAAUGACGGUACCUGGAUAAGAAGCCCCGGCUAACUUCGUGCCAGCCGCCGCCGUAA